AACGAACGCUGGCGGCAUGCCUAACACAUGCAAGUCGAACGAGACCUUCGGGUCUAGUGGCGCACGGGUGCGUAACGCGUGGGAACCUGCCCUUAGGUUCGGAAUAACUCCCCGAAAGGGGUGCUAAUACCGGAUAAUGUCUUCGGACCAAAGAUUUAUCGCCUUUGGAUGGGCCCGCGUUGGAUUAGCUAGUUGGUAGGGUAAAAGCCUACCAAGGCGACGAUCCAUAGCUGGUCUGAGAGGAUGAUCAGCCACACUGGGACUGAGACACGGCCCAGACUCCUACGGGAGGAGGCGGGGGGGAAUGUGGAAAAAGGGGCGAAGGCCUAACCAAGCAAGGCCGGGGGAGUGAGAAGGGCCUGAGGGUUAAAAAUCUUUUUACCCCGGGAUGAUAAUGACAGUACCGGAAAAAUAAGCUCCGGCUAACCCCGUC
rnacentral:rRNA from 1 species